rnacentral:rRNA from 1 species
UACGUAGGGGGGCAAGCGUUGUCCGGAUUUAUUGGGCGUAAAGAGCUCGUAGGUGGUUCGGUAAGUCGGAUGUGAAAUCUCCAGGCUCAACCUGGAGGGGUCAUUCGAUACUGCCGUGACUAGAGGUCGGUAGGGGAGUGUGGAAUUCCUGGUGGAGCGGUGAAAUGCGCAGAUAUCAGGAGGAACACCCGUAGCGAAGGCGGCACUCUGGGCCGAUACUGACACUGAGGAGCGAGAGCGUGGGGAGCGAACAGG